UACGGGGGGGGCAAGCGUUGUUCGGAAUUACUGGGCGUAAAGGGCUUGUAGGUGGCCCCAUAAGUCAGACGUGAAAUCCCUCGGCUCAACCGAGGAACUGCGUCUGAGACUGCGGGGCUUGAAUCCGGGAGAGGGAUGCGGAAUUCCAGGUGUAGCGGUGAAAUGCGUAGAUAUCUGGAGGAACACCGGUGGCGAAGGCGGCAUCCUGGACCGGUAUUGACACUGAAAAGCGAAAGCCAGGGGAGCAAACGGG
rnacentral:rRNA from 1 species